AACGCACCUUGCGCUCCUUGGUGUUCUGAGGAGCAUGCCUGUUUGAGUGUCAUGAAACCUUUCAACUAUUCUAAUUUUUCAAUUGGAAUGAAGUUGGACUUUUUUUUGGAGGGGUUUGCCAGAGCAAAAACUUGUUGCUGGCUCCUCUUGAAUAUAUAAGGUGAUGGGCCUCCCCUCUUACCAUUAACAUGAUAAGUUAUCUGUUAAUGAUUGGGGAAGUUGUUGCCUCUGUGACACUAGUUACAUAUAAUCAUAUUUGACCUCAAAUCAGGUAGGACUACCCGCUGAACUUAA
rnacentral:misc_RNA from 1 species